GCUAAAUGUGGGCAAGGCGCGGGGGGAAUCGGAAGGGGGCAGGGGUUAAUCGGAAGUACUGGGCGUAAAGCGUGCGUAGGGGGUUCUGUGAGUCUGCUGGGAAAUCCCCGGGCUCAACCUGGGAAUGGCAGUGGAGACUGGAGAGCUAGAGUGUGAUAGAGGAUGGUGGAAUUCCCGGUGUAGCGGUGAAAUGCGUAGAGAUCGGGAGGAACAUCAGUGGCGAAGGCGGCCAUCUGGAUCAACACUGACGCUGAGGCACGAAAGCGUGGGGAGCAAACAGGAUUAGAUACCCUUGUAGUC
rnacentral:rRNA from 1 species